rnacentral:rRNA from 1 species
CAGUCGCCGCGGUAACACGUAGGGUGCGAGCGUUAAUCGGAAUUACUGGGCGUAAAGCGUGCGCAGGCGGUUUUGUAAGACAGAUGUGAAAUCCCCGGGCUCAACCUGGGAACUGCAUUUGUGACUGUAGAGCUGGAGUGCGGCAGAGGGGGAUGGAAUUCCGCGUGUAGCAGUGAAAUGCGUAGAUAUGCGGAGGAACACCGAUGGCGAAGGCAAUCCCCUGGGCCUGCACUGACGCUCAUGCACGAAAGCGUGGGGAGCGAACAGGAUUAGAUACCCCCGUAGUCCCUGUCUCUUAUAC